UUUGCUAGUCAUAGCCACCACUUUUUCUUUUUGAUUGAAAGAGAGAGAAAGAAAGAGAGAGGAAGAGAAAGAGCUUGGCUGAGAGAAAGGGAGAUGGAGGCCGGUUAAUUGUGCGAAGGCUAGUGGCGAGCGUCCCAAAUCUUGUUGUUCCAACUGUGAAGAGAGUAGCAAUGGUGGUCGUUUGUGGUUGAAACGGAGGCGAGAGGCUGCUACAGAAUGAGGCUGCAUGGUGGCCCUGGAGGUACGAUGGCCAACAGCAGCCAGAGCCACUACCACCGCUACAGCCAGCCACCGCCACCACCACUGCCACCGCUAUAGCCAGAAAGGUGAGAAAUGGGGAAUUGUCAGGCGGUGAAGGCAGCGAAGGUAGUGAUUCAGCAUCCAGGCAACAAAGUGGCUACUUGAGUUGUGCUCCUAGAAGCCAUGAUACCACUACCUAAACCACCUGCCUCUUUAGGACCAUAAUCAAGAUCCCAUUUCACUGAACACGUCUCCUCUUCUAAGCCUAACCAAGUUAAGUGUACUUGCUUUAGCCAACCUUUACUUACGUAAUAAUAAGCAAAAGUGCUAGACACAAUUUGUGAAAAGAAUGAAAGUUUUGAGAGUGAUUUGGGGCCAAAAAUAAUAUGACACUUCCUGAAUUAUAACUGGUUGUAGCAUAGGUUCCCUGAAUUAAGACAUCAAAGGUAGAGAAGGUUUCUCAUUAAUUGUCAAUCGACAAUCCUACAACCAAAGUUAUUGCCAAAGACUAAAGUCAUUAUUGCGAUUUUUUUCCCCAAAGAUUGAUUGUAAGCAUGAAACCCUUUAGAUAUGAGAAAUAUUAAUUUGUCAUCCUAAGAAACAAAUCAACAUGUUCAAAAAACAAUAAGUUGUCACGAAUGAUAUAGUUGGAUUUAUGUAUAAAUUGAGGGUCUGACCUAUGACUUCGUGAUACUAUCUGAUGCUUGUCGUGUUAAGAUUAUUAUCAGAGAAAUUGAGGGUAAAUUGUCGUGUAUAAAUUGAGGGUAAAUUGAGACAUGGAUUGGAGGCUCACCCAAAGAGGGUGUAACUACUUAAGCAUUUUUCAUUUUGGCAACUUCUAUUCAUGUAUAAUAUUUGUAAACAUGUUGUGUGAUGUGUUCCAAUAGGUGUGUUUAUGUUCAUAUAUACAUUUGAUGUACUUAAAGGCCCCAAGUGUGAGGAUCAAGAGAAUGGUAUGUGGAUUGUAAAUUUGUGAUAUAAUUAAUCUUUAAAUGAAGUUUAUUAUGAAUGAUUGGACUUAUAUUUUUGUCUGUUCACUGGUUAAGAUUAGGGGUGCUCAUAAAUCAAGGUCAACCUGAGAGCCAAACAAAACCAAUGUGAUUGGGUUAGUUUGGUUCAAGUUUUUUUCCAAUUUGGGUUAAUUUUAUUUUGCUUUUUUUUCUUUUUUUUUUAUUUGGACUCAAUUGACAUUGAGUGUGUGGGCUCAAGUAAUAUAAAGCCCCCUUUGCCUAAAAUUACCUCUCUUUUUUUUUAUUGGAUCAAUUGUUCAAUAGCUAAUUUUUUUACUAAGUCACUUUAAGAACCAAGGGUUGACUAUCUGAUGCUUGUUGUGAUGCUUCCCUCUUAAAAUUGUAACGUUGACAUGUUGUAUAGAUUAGUACUGACUAUCCACAACAUGAAGCAUUAUGGGGAGUCCAGGUAUGUUUCUGUUUUUUCUUCUUUGUACAAGUUAUUGUAUUUCUUUUCUUUUGCUAAUUUCUAUCUUAUGCAACCGAUGGUUAACUAUAUUGUCUGUUUUACAAGCUUAACAAUUACAGUAAUCUUUUGAAGUCUCCUCAACAUUGUAGAAUACAUUAUAGAUCCAUUUAUAUGUUUUGAGAACUGUUUAAAAAAAAAAAAUUCUUUCAAAAUAAAGCAGUUGUAGGAAACCAUAAAAAAAAAAAUUUAUGGGUUCAAUUGUUGAAAUGAUUCUCAUAUGAAUAUGAAAAUUAUAUGAAAUCAAUGGUAUUUUCGGAUGAUAAGAAGAAGAAGGAGGAAGAAGGGGUAGAAAAGAAGAUCAUGGGCUUUUUCCUGUGAUUAAAGUUGUAGGCGAGACUGGGGAGAGACAUAUAAUGGGGAAAGCAAUGGGGAAAACACAGGUCCUUUCCCAGAGAAGGUAUCAGUCCUCACUUUCUUUAUUUACCUAUGCAUAUAUACAUAUGUGUAUGCUUAGAGAUGCAUAUUUAUGUUAGGGUCAUAUGCUACUUCGUACAAUUUUGUAUAUUAUUCUUUCUUUUUCUCAAUUAAACCGUUUCAUUAUUUUAUUUGUGUGGCUGAAAGUUGCCAAGAAUUUCCAUCUUUAUGUUCUUGAUGAAGAUUCUAUACACAAUUGACUAAGUGGCUUGGUGGAUUACCUACUAGGUCUUUGCUGAAAAUCUCUCUGAAAAAUAAAUCAAAGGUCUUAAAGCAAUGUUCACUCACAUGAACACGGACAAUAAUGGCACUAUUACCUAUGAGAAACUAAAGUUGGGAUUGGCUCAGCUUGGGUUAAAGUUGUCUAAGGCUGAGUUCAAGCAACUCAUGGAAGCUGUUGAUAUGGAUGGAAAUGGAACAAUUGCCUACAUUGAAUUUAUCACUACAACUAUACACAGACAAACUAGAAAGAGAUGACCAUCUAUAUAAAGCAUUUCAGUAUUUUGACACGGAUGGCAGUAGGUGAGGCCAUUAAUCUUGCAUCUAAUUAACAGUUGUCAUAUUGUUUAUUGAUAGUAAACAUCUGAUUAAGCAAAAAUAAGGAAAGUAUAUGUUGGUCACCUGGUAAUGAGAUGAUCAUAUUGCUUUGGUUAAAAAGGAAAGAAAAACCCUUGCCUUUCUAUUUGUGGUUUAAUUAGUUUCAAAAUCCGUAAUCACUCCAAGAUGACAUUCCUUUACGGAGAACAAAUAACUAACACAGUUUAACAACUACAAUUAUAUAAUUACGUGAAUUUUGUUGUCAGUUGAAGUAGUUCUCGAGUACUAAUGAAUUUGCAUCACAGAUAAUGUAAAAUGCAAAAGUUUUCCUCAUUUAAGUUUCCCUUUUGAAGUAGAU